UUUCCUCUCGCAAACUUUUCUUUUCUCUCCCAAACCCUAGGUUAUUUUCUUUUACGAAAUCCUUGGUUCUUCGCUUUCCGUUUUCGCUUCUUGUUGAUUCUCUGCAGGAAAAUACUUUUCUUCGUUGGUACUCUGUGUUUAGUUUAUGUUCGUCAUUUUCUUCGUGAUUUUCCGGCGUCGUACUUCGUGAUUUCAUACACAUAAGUAUUAUGGAAGAGAAUCCUGCUAGAAGAAAAAGAGCUUCAUCUCAUGAAGAUGUCGAACCAGAAAGCAUUAUGAAGAAGAAAGUGUCUAGAAAGCGAAAAGGUGAAAGAAGUCAGCCCAAAAG